CGGAACUCUUACUUCGUUCGAUAAGUACUAAUACUUAAAUGCAUAUUCGUGAUUCGUGUUGUAAAUUCGUUAUAUCGCGUUAUAUUUGCUGGAAUUUAGUGUUACUAGACGGGUUUUAGUCGCUACAUAUUUAUCGCGUGUGUAAUCUUCGGAAUUCAAUGUUUUGUGGGUUUAUUGCAGUUUCGCGUGUAUCUAGGAUCGCUUACCGUCGGACGCCAGUCAGCCAUGUUGUGUGAUGUAUCAACUCGCAUUUGAUUUACGGUGUUCGAUACACUGUACUUGCUGUGCCCUAGCAAUCCAAUGAGUACUGCAUUGUUACAGCAUUUGUUGUGCCUGGCAGUCCGAUAAGCUGUACACUGUACUUUCUUUGAUUAUCCGACACACUGGUAAGUUUGUAAACUUUAUUAAAUCAUAAUUAAUUAAAUUUUUGUCUUAAAUGACAUGUAACGUGAGUACCGUAAUAACUCAAAAUUGACGCAUGCCGUCGGAUGCGUCUUCGGUUUCGCUGCAGACUUUGCUUUUUCCAUGUCAUUCAUCGAUUUAAUAGCGUGAACUUUCUUCGCUCGUAUUUUCUUUUGAUGUCAUAAUGCUCCAAUCACGGAGACGUGUUUUAAUAGACAAUUUAAAUUUCUUUCCGCGUGUGUACAUGACUUGACGUCGGCCGACACAUUUUGCCUUGCUUGUAGCGUAUCUGGAGAACCCGUCACAAAGAAAAUUUUAGGAUCGCAAUAAAAUUCAUAUUGAUGUUUUAUUUAUCUAUUACUCUACCUUUCCUACCUUUCCUGUUUCUAAUUUUACAUUUUUUAAAUUUAAAUUUUCUUUGAUUUUUCUUCUAGCUCUCUAUUCCUAAUUCAAAAUGUUGAAUUUACUAAUUAAAUGCAGCUAUUUUCUUUUUAUAUCAUCCUAUGUAUUACUUUUCCUUGCUCUCUAAUGUAAAACUGACAAAAUUUAUCGUUUCCGGGUCGUUUUCUACUUAAAAUUUGUAUUUUAUUUUUAAAUUAAGGAAUUUGCAAUUUGUAACACCCUGUAUGUUUUUUUAUUUCCUAUUAUAAGUUUUCUAAAUUUGUUAUCCCCGAGUGUAUUCUUUCAUGAACUUUUGAUUUUAUUUUUGUAGCACCCUGUAUAUUCAUUUUCCUUGUUGUCCGUGAAAAUUUAGCUUUAACUGUUGAUUUUAGGUUUUUCUUCUUUGCACUUUGAAUUUUCUAUUGGAAACACCCUGUAUAUUAGUUUUCCUGAUUGUUGAUGAAAACGAGCGACGUUUGACUGUAAACACUAGUUUAGAAUUUUUUGUUUUCGUCGAAAACGGGCUAUUUCCUAAUUUCUUUAUACCGGUAGUACUUUGCGAAGUGCUACUUACUUGCAUGUGCGCGACGAUGCAGGUCGUAAGUCUUCUUUCAAUAUGGCGGCAUGUAUUUUGUUGACUUGUAAAAUCUAAACUUGUAUUCUAUUAUUAAUAAAUAAAUAGUAAGAUAUA